AUAAUGGGUCAGCGACUUAUAUUCUGUAGCAAGGUUAACCGAAUAGGGGAGCCGAAGGGAAACCGAGUCUUAACUGGGCGUUAAGUUGCAGGGUAUAGACCCGAAACCCGGUGAUCUAGCCAUGGGCAGGUUGAAGGUUGGGUAACACUAACUGGAGGACCGAACCGACUAAUGUUGAAAAAUUAGCGGAUGACUUGUGGCUGGGGGUGAAAGGCCAAUCAAACCGGGAGAUAGCUGGUUCUCCCCGAAAGCUAUUUAGGUAGCGCCUCGUGAAUUCAUCUCCGGGGGUAGAGCACUGUUUCGGCAAGGGGGUCAUCCCGACUUACCAACCCGAUGCAAACUGCGAAUACCGGAGAAUGUUAUCACGGGAGACACACGGCGGGUGCUAACGUCCGUCGUGAAGAGGGAAACAACCCAGACCGCCAGCUAAGGUCCCAAAGUCAUGGUUAAGUGGGAAACGAUGUGGGAAGGCCCAGACAGCCAGGAUGUUGGCUUAGAAGCAGCCAUCAUUUAAAGAAAGCGUAAUAGCUCACUGGUCGAGUCGGCCUGCGCGGAAGAUGUAACGGGGCUAAACCAUGCACCGAAGCUGCGGCAGCGACGCUUAUGCGUUGUUGGGUAGGGGAGCGUUCUGUAAGCCUGCGAAGGUGUGCUGUGAGGCAUGCUGGAGGUAUCAGAAGUGCGAAUGCUGACAUAAGUAACGAUAAAGCGGGUGAAAAGCCCGCUCGCCGGAAGACCAAGGGUUCCUGUCCAACGUUAAUCGGGGCAGGGUGAGUCGACCCCUAAGGCGAGGCCGAAAGGCGUAGUCGAUGGGAAACAGGUUAAUAUUCCUGUACUUGGUGUUACUGCGAAGGGGGGACGGAGAAGGCUAUGUUGGCCGGGCGACGGUUGUCCCGGUUUAAGCGUGUAGGCUGGUUUUCCAGGCAAAUCCGGAAAAUCAAGGCUGAGGCGUGAUGACGAGGCACUACGGUGCUGAAGCAACAAAUGCCCUGCUUCCAGGAAAAGCCUCUAAGCAUCAGGUAACAUCAAAUCGUACCCCAAACCGACACAGGUGGUCAGGUAGAGAAUACCAAGGCGCUUGAGAGAACUCGGGUGAAGGAACUAGGCA
rnacentral:rRNA from 1 species